rnacentral:misc_RNA from 1 species
GAUGGUGGCUUGAAGAAGAAGGGCGGAGAGAGUUGUGUAGAAUUAGCUGGCUCCAUCCAUCGGUUCUUUACUGGAUGGGACUGUCAUGAUGACAAGGAAAGUAUCUACCAGUUGCUAGUUGUACUAAACUUGCACAUGCAGACGAUUAACUUAUUGUGAUUGAAAUUUCUUAUCAUUUGUUAUUAUUUAGUGCAGUUUGACAUUCUCAUUAAUUUUGCGCUGUAUGUCUUUUCCGG